GCGUCCGUAGCCGGUUCUGUAAAUCUCUUGUGAAAUUGUCAUGCUUAACCUGGCAACGUGCAGGAGAGACUGCUGAACUAGGGACCGGGAGAGGUUAGAAGUAUUCGGGGGGGAGCGGUAAAAUACGCAGGGGCAAACGCCUGGCGUUUACAUUGUUAUAAUCCUCCGAAGACUACCAGUGGCGAAGGCGUCUAACCAGAACAGAUCCGACGGUGAGGGACGAAAGCUAGGGGAGCAAUCCGGAUUAGAUACCCGAGUAGUCCUAGCUGUAAACGCUGCGAGCCAGGUGUUGCGCAUUCCACGAGAAUGCGCAGCGUCGAAAAGAAGUUGCUAAGCUCGCCGCCUGGGAAGUACGGUCGCAAGAC
rnacentral:rRNA from 1 species